rnacentral:tRNA from 1 species
GCCCUUGUGACGAAACUGGCUUUCCGUGCUGGUCUUAGAAACCAGAUUUUGUGGGUUCGACUCCCACCAAGGGUA